AUUGAACGCUGGCGGCAGGCUUAACACAUGCAAGUCGAGCGGGGAAGGGUAGCUGGCUACCUAACCUAGCGGCGGACGGGUGAGUAAUGCCUAGGAAUCUGCCAUUUAGUGGGGGACAACAUUCCGAAAGGAAUGCUAAUACAGCAUACGUCCUACGGGGGAAAGCAGGGGAUCUUCGGACCUUGCGCUAAUUGAUGAGCCUAAGUCGGAGUAGCAAGUUGGUGGGGGAAAGGCCUACCAAGGCGACGAUCUGUAGCGGGUCUGAGAGGAUGAUCCGCCACACUGGGACUGAGACACGGCCCAGACUCCUACGGGAGGCAGCAGUGGGGAAUAUUGGACAAUGGGUGGAAGCCUGAUCCAGCCAUGCCGCGUGUGUGAAGAAGGCCUUAUGGUUGUAAAGCACUUUAAGCGAGGAGGAGGCUACUUAGAUUAAUACUCUAGGAUAGUGGACGUUACUCGCAGAAUAAGCACCGGCUAACUCUGUGCCAGCAGCCGCAGUAA
rnacentral:rRNA from 1 species